rnacentral:rRNA from 1 species
UACGUAGGUGGCGAGCGUUGUCCGGAUUUACUGGGCGUAAAGGGCGCGUAGGCGGCCUAUCAAGUCAGUAGUGGAAGUCCAAUUUUUUAAGAUUGGAAGUGCUAUUGAAACUGAAUGGCUUGAGUGCAGGAGAGGUUAUCGGAAUUCCCGGUGUAGCGGUGAAAUGCGUAGAGAUCGGGAGGAACACCAGUGGCGAAGGCGGGUAACUGGACUGCAACUGACGCUGAUGCGCGAAAGUGUGGGGAGCAAACAGGAUUAGAUACCCUGGUA